AACGCUAGCUACAGGCUUAACACAUGCAAGUCGAGGGGCAGCAUCAUCAAAGCUUGCUUUGAUGGAUGGCGACCGGCGCACGGGUGAGUAACACGUAUCCAACCUGCCGACAACACUGGGAUAGCCUUUCGAAAGAAAGAUUAAUACCGGAUGGCAUAGUUUUCCCGCAUGGGAUAAUUAUUAAAGAAUUUCGGUUGUCGAUGGGGAUGCGUUCCAUUAGGCAGUUGGCGGGGUAACGGCCCACCAAACCAACGAUGGAUAGGGGUUCUGAGAGGAAGGUCCCCCACAUUGGAACUGAGACACGGUCCAAACUCCUACGGGAGGCAGCAGUGAGGAAUAUUGGUCAAUGGACGAGAGUCUGAACCAGCCAAGUAGCGUGAAGGAUGACUGCCCUAUGGGUUGUAAACUUCUUUUAUACGGGAAUAAAGUUAGCCACGUGUGGCUUUUUGUAUGUGCCGUAUGAAUAAGGAUCGGCUAACUCCGUGCCAGCAGCCGCGGUAAUACGGAGGAUCCAAGCGUUAUCCGGAUUUAUUGGGUUUAAAGGGAGCGUAGGUUGACAUAUAAGUCAGCUGUGAAAGUUUACGGCUCAACCGUGAAAUUGCAGUUGAUACUGUAUGUCCUGAGUGUACAAGAGGUGGGCGGAAUUCGUGGUGUAGCGGUGAAAUGCUUAGAUAUCACGAAGAACUCCGAUUG
rnacentral:rRNA from 1 species